rnacentral:rRNA from 1 species
UACUUGUACCGACUGGAUGAGCAGCGAACGGGUGAGUAACGCGUGGGGAAUCUGCCUUUGAGCGGGGGACAACAUUUGGAAACGAAUGCUAAUACCGCAUAAAAACUUUAAACACAAGUUUUAAGUUUGAAAGAUGCAAUUGCAUCACUCAAAGAUGAUCCCGCGUUGUAUUAGCUAGUUGGUGAGGUAAAGGCUCACCAAGGCGAUGAUACAUAGCCGACCUGAGAGGGUGAUCGGCCACAUUGGGACUGAGACACGGCCCAAACUCCUACGGGAGGCAGCAGUAGGGAAUCUUCGGCAAUGGACGAAAGUCUGACCGAGCAACGCCGCGUGAGUGAAGAAGGUUUUCGGAUCGUAAAACUCUGUUGGUAGAGAAGAACGUUGGUGAGAGUGGAAAGCUCAUCAAGUGACGGUAACUACCCAGAAAGGGACGGCUAACUACGUGCCAGCAGCCGCGGUAAUACGUAGGUCCCGAGCGUUGUCCGGAUUUAUUGGGCGUAAAGCGAGCGCAGGUGGUUUAUUAAGUCUGGUGUAAAAGGCAGUGGCUCAACCAUUGUAUGCAUUGGAAACUGGUAGACUUGAUUGCAGGAGAGGAGAGUGGAAUUCCUGGGGAACCCGGGGGGGGAAAACGG